AAGGGCGCACGGUGGAUGCCUUGGCACUAGAAGCCGAUGAAGGACGUUACUAACGACGAUAUGCUUUGGGGAGCUGUAAGUAAGCUUUGAUCCAGAGAUUUCCGAAUGGGGAAACCCAGCAUGAGUUAUGUCAUGUUAUCGAUAUGUGAAUACAU
rnacentral:rRNA from 6 species